rnacentral:rRNA from 1 species
GUCUAUAGCCAUCCUACCCUGAAUGUGCCUGAUCUCAUCUGAUCUCAGAAGCCCAGCAGGGUCAGGCCUGGUUAGUACUCGGAUGGGAGAUUGUGAUCUUGUUGAGU